AAAAUUGUUACUAUCUAUAUGCCAUUAUAAAAUAUUAUAUUUUUCUACAGAAAAAGUCAAAUCAGCUGGCUCUUUUCUUGCCAUGUAGACACAGACCUCCUGGGGAAUCAUCAAAGCGGGAAUAGAUUUAGACUGUGACUCUGAAUUUUGGAAAUUGUUUGUUUUAGACUGGACAUGAAGAGGUUACAAAAACAAAAUAAAAUGGGGAAAAAAAGUCUUCUGCCCAUAUUAUCUCUUUGAAACAUUUGAAGAACAGAUUCAGAAUUUAUAUAAAGGAGGAAGAAAACAACACCACCACCAAAGGCUGCAGAAGUGAUGUGAGCUGCCCUGGCAGACGGACAAGAAAGAAAGUGAAUACUAUUUCAGUACUUGUCACCUAGGAGUCAUCAGUAAGUUGCAUCCAUUAAACAAAGAAAAGUCAUUCAACCAGCCAUCUGGAGACAACAUGGGCAAAGGUUAACACUGAGGAGAAACUGCUGGAAGUAGAAUCCAAAUUAAGUAAGAGAAGAAACAGAGACCAGAUCCAGGUCCCCACUUGAAUCACUAUAAUUAUUGAAAAUAGCAGCUGAUACGUACCAAUAUAAAACUGAAGACUUGCUAUGACCCAGGAACUCUGGGAAGCAUGUUAUGUAAUUGCAUCUGCCUUCCUUGCUGGACUCUAAGCUCCUUGAGGACAAAGAUGUAUCCAUUGUGCCACUUCUACAUUCUCCAAGCCUAGCAGAGAACCAAGAACUAAGGGCUCAAAAACAUGUGUUGAAUUAAUUAAGAAUAUCACAGCAAAUCCUCUGAAAAACUCAGAGAUAAGUGACAUCAUCAUCCUUAUUUUAUAGAUGACAAACCUGAAAUUUGGGUCAAGAACACAGAGCCUGUGGGUGACAAACAGCAAUCCAAACCAACAAUCAGAUUCCCAAACUUGAAAACUCAUCUACUCUGCCUCACUGAUCAGUUUGUUUGCCCAGUUUCACCAUAAAAGAGUAGGUAAGAUGGGGAGUGAGGAGAGAGACACAAGGAAAAACAUCUCUUGCUUGAGACACCCUCUUCUUUCUUACUCACUUGCCACACAUUCUUUAAGGCUUAUUUCCAGCCCAAAAUUCUCCAAGAAAUCUUUUUGGACCAUACAGCUCUUUUUGUUUCUUCUGAAUACCAGCAGCCCUUAAUAUCCAUUGAAAAGAAUUAAAAAACUACCCCAGCUCUCCUGCAUAGCUCAUUCUUGUUAAGUGUAUGGAGUCCUCUGAAUUUCCCAAAAGCAUGAUAAGGUCCUAAGGGCAAGGUACCCAAUUAUUUUCCCUGUUUGCGGAACAGCACACAGCACAAAAAUGAACACAUGGUUUAGGUUCUUUGUAACUACCUAAGGUCAGAUCAGCUAGAGUGACUAGUUAAUGAUAUACAUAAUAUCAGUAUCAGACCAGGAAUAUCCUUCCUCCUCUCAUUUGUAAAAUUCUCUCAAAUAUCACCCAUUAAAACUGUGGACUUCUUCAUCCUUUUUGUGUUCAUUUAUCUAAAGUGCUAGACAAGCCAGGAGAAUGCCCUGGCCAAAGAAAAUUAAAGGAAGAAAAGGUUAUGAGCUUUUUGCUUCCUCCCAUGCACACUUUGCUUAAUUCAGGGAGCAUUUGGUUUUUAUUCCAUGAGAGACCAAGGACUCCCACUUCAAAAACAACACAAUGAUUAUGGCCAGCAAAAUUCCUAUAAAAGAGAACAUAAAGAAACUUCAGAGACAUUUAAUUGAUCUACAGUAAGAAUGGGCCAGGAUUUUUACACUCUGGAAGUAUUAGGUAGAACUGUAGUUAAAAUUAUUUAUUUUAUUACAAGAAUAGUACAAGGCUGUCUUUAUGCCAGAGUAAUUAUCCAGUUAAUUGCCCUAGAAUGAGUAUAACCCAGUUUCCAGAUACAUAACACACAUUUUGCCAAAUGUGACUUGACUUAUGCCAGCAGCCUGCAACAGUUUUAAUCUCAAAAGUUGCCAGGGAACUUAAAGGACACCCACGGGAGCCUGGGGCAAGCCCAAGACUGCACAGCAGGAAGCACAUGGAAGGGGAAGGAAGAAAAGGAAUGACUAUCAGCUGCUGGGACCAAGGAGUCCAGGAAAGUAGAACAAGGAAGGGAUGUGAGCAGAGGAAAACAAGUAGAAGAAAGGAAAAAAUAAGUAAAUGUGGUGAAGAACAAUGGCCUUCUUUUUGGCAUUAACGGAAUAAAAUAUGUUUUGGGCAUCAUAGAUGUUACUGCUCUUUUUUGAGAAUUAAAUGAAGUAUAUAAUGAGCUAGGCAAAGUGCCAAACAUAUAGUAAUAAUUUUAGGAUGUUAGGUGUUUUUUGUCCCCCAAAGGGAUGUUUGUUUGUGGGGGUUUUUUGUUUUGUUUUGUUUUUUGUUUAUUUUUUGAGAUGGAGUCUGGCUCUUAUCGCCA
rnacentral:lncRNA from 1 species